AUGGACCCGCAAGCCACUGGUGUGGAGAAGGCGGCCGCGCCGUACGGGUCCUGGGAGUCGCCGAUCAGUGCCGACGCCGUCUUCGCCGCCGAGAAGGAAGUCCACGGGCUCGCCGUCGCCGGCGACGGCCGGGUCCUCUGGGUCGAGACGCGUCCCGAGGAAGGAGGGCGCGAGGUUCUCGUGAAGGAAGGGGCCAGCGCAGACGGCGGAAACUUGGAUGUGACGCCGCAGGAGUUCGCCGUGGGGUCCCUGGCGCAGAUGUACGGCUACGGCGGCGCGUUCGCUGUGCAAGGGGAUGUCGUGGUCUUCUCCAACUACACCGACCAGCGCUUGUACAGGCAAACCAUAGGAGAUAACUCACCGCUACCUUUGACACCGGAUUAUGGUGGAUCAGUUGUCCGAUUUGCAGACGGUGUCUUCGAUCCUCACUUCAGUCGUUACGUCACCAUAAUGGAAGAUCACUGCAAGAGCUCAAAUCCCAUCGCAACAGUUGUUGCCGUGAGCACAAAUGUUGCAGAAGUUAAUGAACCAACUGUGCUGGUCAGGGGGAAUGACUUCUAUGCCUUUCCACGCAUCGAUCCAACUGAAAAGCGCAUGGCCUGGAUUGAAUGGAGUAAUCCAAACAUGUCUUGGGAUAAAGCCCAACUGUGGGUUGGAUAUUUUUCUGGCGAAGGAGAUGUACAAAAACGUAUUUGCAUUGCUGGUGAAGACCCAGAAUUUGUGGAAUCUCCUACUGAACCCAAGUGGUCUUCAAAAGGUGAGCUGUUCUUCAUAACUGACAGACAGAAUGGAUUUUGGAAUAUUCAUAAAUGGGAUGAACAGAGCAAUGUUGUAGUGCAAGUGUACUCCAUCGAUGCUGAAUUCUCAAAGCCAAUAUGCUUUGGUGUCAGCUCCUAUGCUUUUCUAAGAAACAAUGACUCGAGUCAGAAAAUAGCUUGCUGCUACAGGCAGAAUGGGAAAUCAUAUGUUGGGUUACUGGACCAUGAUUCAGGGUCUUUUUCAAAACUUGACCUUCCCUUCUCUUCUGUAACUAACAUAGUUUCUGGAGAUGGAUCUUUUUACGUUGAGGGUGCAUCUGCUACUCUUCUAGUCUCAAUAGCAAAGGUGACGCUGGAUGAAAAGAGAACAAUGGCAACUGACAUUUCUAUCGUUUGGUCCUCCUUGGAUGAAAUUAAGAAAUAUACAUCCUACUUUAGUUUGCCUGAAUUUAUGGAGUUCCCAACUGUAAUCCCUGGCCAACAUUCUUAUGCGUACUUUUAUCCUCCACACAAUCUAAUUUUCCAAGGUUCAUCGAAUGAAAAGCCUCCAUUGUUAGUCAGAACCCAUGGUGGACCUACAGAUGAAGCACGCGGGGUUCUGGAUCUUAGUGUGCAGUACUGGACGAGCCGAGGAUGGGCACUCGUUGAUGUUAACCACGGUGGAAGUGCAGGCUAUGGGAGAGAGUUCCGAGAGAGGCUUUUAGGGAAAUGGGGUGUUGUGGAUGUAAAUGAUUGCUGCAGCUGUGCCACAUUUCUGGUGGAAACUGGAAGAGUGGAUGGGCAACGUCUUUGUAUAACAGGAGAAUGUGCUGGUGGAUUCACAACUUUAGCUUGCCUUGCUUUCAGACAGAUAUUCAAGGCUGGUGCUUCUUUAUACGGGAUUGCUGACUUAGCUUCACUAAGGGCAUUCGCACGCAAGGGUGAUGCGUACUAUAUUGACAACCUUGUGGGCAAUGAACAGGCUUACUUUGAGAGAUCACCAAUAAAUUUCGCUGAAAGAUUUACCUGUCCGGUCAUUUUGUUUCAAGGAUUGGAAGACACGGUUGUGCCACCAGAUCAGGCAAGAACAAUAUACAAGGCUAUAAAGGACAAAGGUCUACCUGUUGCUUUGGUUGAGUAUGAAGGGGAACCACAUGUUUUUCGCAAGGCCGAGAACAUCAAGUUUACCUUGGAGCAGGCGAUGAUGUUCUUCGCAAGAUUAGUUGGGCACUUCAAGGUGGCAGAUGUCAUCACUCCAAUCAAAAUUGACAACUUUGAUUAA
rnacentral:rRNA from 1 species